rnacentral:misc_RNA from 1 species
GAAGAUUAUCACUGUACUUAUAUCUGUAAGCUAGUUUGUAUCAAAUAAUUUUCAGUAAUAUAUACGAUCAAAAUUUUUCAUGUAUACCCUUGGAAUUCAAACAAAUAAAAGGAAAAUCAACUCGAUAAUCGUGAUCGCCGCUGAUGAGACGAGGACGACGAUGUAGUUGAAGAAGACGGUGAGCUCCACGUUUCCGACGUCCCAAAAAACAAAUCCGGCAAGUAAUUCUCUAUAUCUUCUGGUGCAUAUCUGACAAAUAGUCUUACAUUCCUUUGUCCCUCCACCGUAACCAUUUGUUUAUUAUAAAACUCGCGAUAAACCGGCGUUAGUUUUCUUGCUAUAGAAACCUUCAUCUCGUCUCGGAGUUUCGGGUCCGAUACGAUACAAGAACUCUGCUUUCUAUAUGCUGCUUCGAAACUGGAAUUAAAUCGUUUUAAAC